CCUACGGGGGGCUGCAGUGGGGAAUAUUGCACAAUGGGCGCAAGCCUGAUGCAGCGACGCCGCGUGAGGGAUGAAGGCCUUCGGGUUGUAAACCUCUUUCAGUAGGGAAGAAGUCGGCCUUUCGGGGUUGGUGACGGUACCUGCAGAAGAAGCGCCGGCUAACUACGUGCCAGCAGCCGCGGUAAUACGUAGGGCGCAAGCGUUAUCCGGAAUUAUUGGGCGUAAAGAGCUCGUAGGCGGUUUGUCGCGUCUGCCGUGAAAGUCCGGGGCUUAACCCCGGAUCUGCGGUGGGUACGGGCAGACUAGAGUGCAGUAGGGGAGACUGGAAUUCCUGGUGUAGCGGUGAAAUGCGCAGAUAUCAGGAGGAACACCGAUGGCGAAGGCAGGUCUCUGGGCUGUAACUGACGCUGAGAGCG
rnacentral:rRNA from 1 species